AGUGGCAAAUGGGUUAGUAACACGUGGGUAAUCAGCCCCAUUCACGGAUAUAACCGGUUGAAAGAUCGGCUAAUCACCGAUGGUCUCGGAACUUCGUAUGGGAAUCCGAGUAAAUGGUAUACGCAAGUAUGCCGGAAUGGGAUGAGCCCGCGGCCUAUCAGCUAGUUGGUAAGGUAAUGGCUUACCAAGGCAAUGACGGGUAGGCGGGGUUAGCGCCUGAUCGCCAACAAGGGCACUGAGACACGGGCCCUACUCCUACGGGAGGCUGCAGUCGAGAAUAUUGGACAAUGGGGGAAACCCUGAUCCUGCGACGUCGCGUGAUUGAAGAAGCCCUUCGGGGUGUAAAGAUCUUUUCUAAGGGAAGAACCUUUCGAGGUGACGGUACCUUAGGAAUAAGGGGGUGCUAAUUCUGUGCCAGCAGCAGCGGUAAUACAGAACCCUCAAGCGUUAUCCGGAUUUAUUGGGCGUAAAGAGUUCGUAGGCGGUUUGUAUAGUCUUUGGUUAAAUCCUCGGGGCUCAACCUUGAGACAGCUGAAGAUACUUUGAACUAGAGGACGUUAGGGGUUGACGGAACGGUCGGUGUAGGGGUAAAAUCCGUUGAUAUCGACCGGAACACCGAAAGCGAAGGCAGUCAACUGGGACGAUCCUGACGCUGAGGAACGAAAGCGUGGGGAGAGAACGAGAUUANAUACCUCGGUAUUCCACGCUGUAAACGAUGGAUACUGGCUAUUUGAAGUGUCGACCCUUCAAGUGGCGAAGCUAACGCGUUAAGUAUCCCGCCCGGGAAGUACGGCCGCAAGGCUAAAACUCAAAU
rnacentral:rRNA from 1 species